GACGAACGCUGGCGGCGUGCCUAAUACAUGCAAGUUGAGCGCUGAAGGUUGGUACUUGUACCAACUGGAUGAGCAGCGAACGGGUGAGUAACGCGUGGGGAAUCUGCCUUUGAGCGGGGGACAACAUUUGGAAACGAAUGCUAUUACGGAUUAAAAACUUUAAAAACAAGUUUUAGGUUUGAAAGAUGCAAUUGCAUCACUAAAAGAUAAUCCCGCGCUGUAUUAGCUAGUUGGUGAGGUAAAGGCUCACCAAGGCGAUGAUACAUAGCCGACCUGAGAGGGUGAUCGGCCACAUUGGGACUGAGACACGGCCCAAACUCCUACGGGAGGCAGCAGUAGGGAAUCUUCGGCAAUGGACGAAAGUCUGACCGAGCAACGCCGCGUGAGUGAAGAAGGUUUUCGGAUCGUAAAACUCUGUUGGUAGAGAAGAACGUUGGUGAGAGUGGAAAGCUCAUCAAGUGACGGUAACUACCCAGAAAGGGACGGCUAACUACGUG
rnacentral:rRNA from 1 species